UGGAUCCAGACUUUGAUCCUGGCUCAGGAUGAACGCUAGCUACAGGCUUAACACAUGCAAGUCGAGGGGCAGCAUGGGAUUAGCUUGCUGAUCCUGAUGGCGACCGGCGCACGGGUGCGUAACGCGUAUCCAACCUGCCCUCUACUCCGGAACAGCCCGUCGAAAGGCGGAUUAAUGCCGGAUGGCGUCAGAUGCCCGCAUGGGCGUGUGACUAAAGGCAACGGUAGAGGAUGGGGAUGCGACUGAUUAGCUUGUUGGCGGGGUAACGGCCCACCAAGGCUACGAUCAGUAGGGGUUCUGGGAGGAAGGUCCCCCACAUUGGAACUGAGACACGGUCCAAACUCCUACGGGAGGCAGCAGUGAGGGAUAUUGGUCAAUGGGCGAGAGCCUGAACCAGCCAAGUAGCGUGCGGGGUGACGGCCCUAUGGGUUGUAAACCGCUUUUGAUUGGGGACAAAGAGCGCCACGUGUGGUGCGUUGCGUGUACCUUUCGAAUAAGCAUCGGCUAAUUCCGUGCCAGCAGCCGCGGUAAUACGGAAGAUGCGAGCGUUAUCCGGAUUUAUUGGGUUUAAAGGGAGCGUAGGCGGGCUGUUAAGUCAGCGGUCAAAUGUCAGGGCCCAACCUUGGCAUGCCGUUGAUACUGGCGGCCUUGAGUUUACACAAGGAAGGUGGAAUUCGUCGUGUAGCGGUGAAAUGCUUAGAUAUGACGAAGAACUCCGAUUGUGAAGGCAGCCUUCUGGGGUGUUACUGACGCUGAGGCUCGAAAGUGCGGGAAUCAAACAGGAUUAGAUACCCUGGUAGUCCGCACCGUAAACGAUGAGCGCCCGUCAUUGGCGACACACAGUCAGUGACCAAGGGAAACCGUUAAGCGCUCCACCUGGGGAGUACGCCGGCAACGGUGCAACUCAAAGGAAUUGACGGA
rnacentral:rRNA from 1 species